rnacentral:rRNA from 1 species
AUUGAACGCUGGCGGCAGGCCUAACACAUGCAAGUCGAGCGAGCGGCGGACGGGUGAGUAAUGUAUGGGGACUGCCCGAUAGAGGGGGAUAACUACUGGAAACGGUGGCUAAUACCGCAUACUAUCGGAUAACCCAUAUGGGAUUAGCUAGUAGUUGGGGUAAAGGCUCACAUCGGCGACGAUCGCUAGCUGGUCUAAGAGGAUGAUCAGCGACACUGGGACGGAGAAACGGCCCAUACUCCUACGGAGGCAGCAGUGGGGAAUAUUGCACAAUGGGCGCAAGCGGGAUGCAGCCAUGCCGGGUGUAUGAAGAAGGCCUUAGGGUUGUAAAGUACGUGCAGCGGGGAGGCGUUACGCGGAGAAGAAGCACCGGCUAACUCCGUGCCAGCAGCCGCGGUAAUUC